rnacentral:tRNA from 1 species
CUUACAAGGAGGGGGUCACUGGUUCGAGACCGGUAUCGCCCACCACUCACUUCCCCUUUAAUUAUUUUAUUUCAAC